rnacentral:rRNA from 1 species
CCUACGGGUGGCAGCAGUGAGGAAUAUUGGUCAAUGGGCGCGAGCCUGAACCAGCCAAGUCGCGUGAGGGAAGAAGGUCCUAUGGAUCGUAAACCUCUUUUAUAGGGGAGUAAAAAGCGGUACGCGUACUGCAUUGAAAGUACCUGGAGAAAAAGGAUCGGCUAACUCCGUGCCAGCAGCCGCGGUAAUACGGAGGAUGCGAGCGUUAUCCGGAUUUAUUGGGUUUAAAGGGUGCGUAGGCGGCGAUUUAAGUCAGCGGUAAAAUUUCGGGGCUCAACCCCGACAAGCCGUUGAAACUGGUUUGCUAGAGUGUGUGAGAGGUAUGCGGAAUGCGUGGUGUAGCGGUGAAAUGCUUAGAUAUCACGCAGAACCCCGAUUGCGAAGGCAGCAUACC